CUACCUGACCUAGCGGCGGACGGGUGAGUAAUGCUUAGGAAUCUGCCUAUUAGUGGGGGACAACAUUCCGAAAGGAAUGCUAAUACCGCAUACGCCCUACGGGGGAAAGCAGGGGAUCUUCGGACCUUGCGCUAAUAGAUGAGCCUAAGUCAGAUUAGCUAGUUGGUGGGGUAAAGGCCUACCAAGGCGACGAUCUGUAGCGGGUCUGAGAGGAUGAUCCGCCACACUGGGACUGAGACACGGCCCAGACUCCUACGGGAGGCAGCAGUGGGGAAUAUUGGACAAUGGGCGAAAGCCUGAUCCAGCCAUGCCGCGUGUGUGAAGAAGGCCUUUUGGUUGUAAAGCACUUUAAGCGAGGAGGAGGCUACUUGGAUUAAUACUCUAGGAUAGUGGACGUUACUCGCAGAAUAAGCACCGGCUAACUCUGUGCCAGCAGCCGCGGUAAUACAGAGGGUGCGAGCGUUAAUCGGAUUUACUGGGCGUAAAGCGUGCGUAGGCGGCUUCUUAAGUCGGAUGUGAAAUCCNUGAGCUUAACUUAGGAAUUGCAUUCGAUACUGGGAAGCUAGAGUAUGGGAGAGGAUGGUAGAAUUCCAGGUGUAGCGGUGAAAUGCGUANAGAUCUGGAGGAAUACCGAUGGCGAAGGCAGCCAUCUGGCCUAAUACUGACGCUGAGGUACGAAAGCAUGGGGAGCAAACAGGAUUAGAUACCCUGGUAGUCCAUGCCGUAAACGAUGUCUACUAGCCGUUGGGGCCUUUGAGGCUUUAGUGGCGCAGCUAACGCGAUAAGUAGACCGCCUGGGGAGUACGGUCGCAAGACUAAAACUCAAAUGAAUUGACGGGGGCCCGCACAAGCGGUGGAGCAUGUGGUUUAAUUCGAUGCAACGCGAAGAACCUUACCUGGUCUUGACAUAGUAAGAACUUUCCAGAGAUGGAUUGGUGCCUUCGGGAACUUACAUACAGGUGCUGCAUGGCUGUCGUCAGCUCGUGUCGUGAGAUGUUGGGUUAGGUCCCGCAACGAGCGCAACCCUUUUCCUUAUUUGCCAGCGAGUAAUGUCGGGAACUUUAAGGAUACUGCCAGUGACAAACUGGAGGAAGGCGGGGACGACGUCAAGUCAUCAUGGCCCUUACGACCAGGGCUACACACGUGCUACAAUGGUCGGUACAAAGGGUUGCUACCUAGCGAUAGGAUGCUAAUCUCAAAAAGCCGAUCGUAGUCCGGAUUGGAGUCUGCAACUCGACUCCAUGAAGUC
rnacentral:rRNA from 1 species